UAAGCAUCAUUCUCUCUUCCAAGUCUCAGAGAUGGAGACAGACAGACUCCUGCUAUGGGUGCUGCUGCUCUGGGUUCCAGGCUCCACUGGUGACACUGUGCUGACCCAGUCUCCUGCUUUGGCUGUGUCUCCAGGAGAGAGGGUUACCAUCUCCUGUAGGGCCAGUGAAAGUGUCAGUACACUUAUGCACUGGUACCAACAGAAACCAGGACAGCAACCCACACUCCUCAUCUAUCUAGCAUCAAACCUAGAAUCUGGGGUCCCUGCCAUGUUCAGUGGCAGUGGGUCUGGGACAGACUUCACCCUCACCAUUGAUCCUGUGGAGGCUGAUGACACUGCAACCUAUUUCUGUCAGCAGAGUUGGAAUUCUCCUCCCACAGUGCUCCAGGGCUGAACAAAACCCCCUGUG